GAAACAUUAAAUGAAAAAUUGUGUCCACAUUAAAUGAAUACAGUAGAAGAGAAUAAUAUCGAGUUCCGAUACACGAAAAUACUUUUUUCAGCCUCAUUUUCAUUCCACUUUUUCCCGCGCUUAUGACGUCACACAUCUCGUCGCGUUUACAUCGCCACGAGACUGAACUGAGCUGUGUACAUGCGAUAUUAAGCAGAUUCAACUACAAAGAAGUAAACAUACAAAGAUGACAGAAGAAGGGCAAAAUGAAAGCAGAGAUGACCAAACAGAAGAAAAUAGCAAAGACAAAAAGAAGAUCAAGAGGUGCUACAGAUGCGGGCGUGUCGGGCACAUAGCCCGACACUGCCCGCGUAAGCGCGGUCGAAAGAGAAGACAAGGCUGGAAGAUGCCGUAUUCAGUAAAUAUCCACUUCCACGGAAGAUAGCAAAAUUAAAAAAAUGUCGGCACAUUGAUUGUUUGUUUCUUGUUUUCCCUUUUUUUCAUACAGUUUACUCUCUUUGAACGACCACUCUCGUAAGCGACCAUAUCCCGUAUGCGACCACGUUUUAAAUUUGCCGUUAUAAUUGUUYCCCAUAUAAACUCUGUAAAAAAAAACCUCUCGCGUUAGCGACCAUCUCUCGUAAGCGACCACUUUUUCCUGAUCCCGAGGUGGUCGCUUACGAGAGAGUUGACUGUUGUUACAAAAACAUUACUAAACUUUUUUUCACAUUAAAAGAGCUUACAAUAUAGGAGUAAAACAUCACAAAAGGGGUCUUCUCUCUAUGGCGUGAAAAUCCGAGUCUUAAUUCAAUUAGGGUCGAUUGUUACAGAGCAAUGUUUUUCUUCUGUGCCUGAAUGAAGAUGUGAGCCGUUCCUUGCGUUUACUUAAUGAGCACAGUUCACGAUGGCRGUUGAUAAUGUACUUUGCAGAACUUUGGUGCAUCCAGUUUUUAUGCAUAAUCAUCAUUCAUCAAUGAUAGCUCAUCUACACUUUACUUCCAGGUUGAUAUGCAGUCAAUCUGAUUCCAAAGAAUAGAAUGUUUUGGUGCGAUAUGACACUUAAACGCGGGGGGGAGAUACAUGCUGUCAUCGUGGAAACCUAAUACAUCCUAAAUCACAAAUUCAAAAGCUUUAAUUUCCUUCUGAAACCAAUACAAAUAUGCAUAAUUCACAUCUUCGACUAUUGUAAUUAAAUCAUGUUUGCAGUACACAGCAGAGAGAGAUUUGACUGACAUGGUCAUCACGUAACCAUCAGCAGGAACUGCGGUUUUGUGAAUUGUUCUUGUGGCUGUAUCCAUUGCGACCGUUCUGUGCUGUCACCUCGACGAACGUGCACCGUCUCCAAUACGACCGACCUGUAACCAUAGAAAUAAUAGCAAGUGUAAAGUUCAUAUAUGUAUCGGAUUCUAGUAGUGUAUAACUAUUGUAUUGUAUCGAAAUUUGUUUGUGAAUAAAAAGUUUUGUUAUUA